UGAAACCCUAUGACCGGGAAGAGUAGAUACCGGCGUUUAGUCAAAGCGAGCUCGGGAGGGUGGGAGCCGAGUACUGUAGCCGGUAUUGAAUGGGCCCGCGAGGGGAACUGCGAAAUCAAAGUAGCAGUCUCCGGUGAGCCUACCGUUAAAAAGGCAGGGUAUCGAGAGCAAUCUCCGUACCCGAAAGAGUGGUCCUGUGUUAAAAAGGUGGCACAAGCAUUUCAUCCUUUUGGUGAAAUGCUUUUUUUUAAAUACAGGACAAAUUGGGUGGCACCGCGGUCACUCCGCCCCAAUG
rnacentral:ncRNA from 1 species